UCAAUUCAACAUUGUUGUAUUUAUUGGGUUCUGAAACAAACACACAUUCACAUCCUUUUGAAUACAGUACAUUUGGCACAGUAAUAACGUUUAUGAUGAAGUAACACAAAUGAAUGGCAAUAGAUUUAAAACACAUCCAAUAAGAAAAAAAUGUCCUGUACAAAUAAAGCAACACAAUACAAAAACGGAAUACGUUUUAUAUUUAUAUAUUUAUAUAUAGCCAGCACUAUUUGCACAUAAUUUAAAAGAGGUAAUUUUCAGCUUUCAUCUUCUUUUUAACUUUUGGAAAGAACCUGUUUAACAUGGCAAUGGGUUCCAUAUUAGAAUUCUAAAAGGAAAUAGUAAAAAAAAUAAAAUAAAAAAAACAUAAAACAGCAGUGAUCAGCCAAUAUAGAUUUUUUUGGCAUUGUGCACAAUACAAAACACAACAAAAUAAAUAAAUGUCAGAAAUUAAAUUGUCGAUCAGACAGAAAUGUAACAGCGCAUCCAUUAUCACUGGCCCUUUUAGCUAUAGGGGUUAACAAACGAUAGGUUGGGUCCUAUUUAGUUCUAAUGUCUGGGUAAAUUUCCAUUUUUUUCUGCGGAAGUAUUCUUAACGUGAAGCCAUCACCGUGGAGACCAAUUGGAAUGCUCUGAAGAUUCCAACACAACUAGCAAUUUUUAUCAGAAUUGCUCUUCAAACAUAUUCCCACCCCUCAUUAUACUAAUCCAUGUAUAACAUGUGUAAGACACAGAAGAAUGGUACAAACCUCAAUGGGUUGUAUUACUUUAAAUUUCCAAAAUCCUGAUUUGCAGAUGCAAGUGGCGCUGUCAUGCCAAACUUACCUUUCUCCUAUUGUUUAAUCUUCUCUCCCUCUCCCAGAAUCUGUUCUUCUUUUCUUUAUUUCUGAUUUAGUUUCCUUGAAAACAUAAAACAAAGUAGGGACUACUUCUCUUCCUCUCUCAGAACCUGUUCUUAUUUUCUUUCUAUCUGAUCUAGUUUUCUUUAAAACAUAAGACAAAGUAGGAACUACUUUGUCUUAUGUAUUUUUCCUACGCUUGACUUCUUUGACCAAAGAAGGAGCUUAAAGGACCACUAUAGUGCCAGGAAAACAUACUCGUUUUCCUGGCACUAUAGUGCCCUGAGGGUGCCCCCACCCUCAGGGUCCCCCUCCCGCCGGCUCUGGAAGGGGGAAAGGGGUUAAAACUUACCUUUUUCCAGCGCUGGGCGGAGAGCUC